rnacentral:rRNA from 1 species
GAUACCACCCUUGUAGUACUGGGACUCUAACCAUAGGCCAUGAAUCUGGUCUUGGGACACUGUCAGGUGGGCAGUUUGACUGGGGCGGUCGCCUCCCAAAAGGUAACGGAGGCGCUCAAAGGUUCUCUCAGUACGGUCGGAAAUCGUACGUAGAGUGUAAAGGCAAAAGAGAGCGUGAUUGCAAGACAUACAGGUCGAGCAAGGAUGAAAAUCGGACUUAGUGAUCCGGUGGUUCUGCGUGGAAGGGCCAUCGCUCAACGGAUAAAAGCUACCCUGGGGAUAACAGGCUUAUCUCCCCCAAGAGUCCACAUCGACGGGGAGGUUUGGCACCUCGAUGUCGGCUCAUCACAUCCUGGGGCUGUAGUAGGUCUUAAGGGUUGGGCUGUUCGCCCAUUAAAGUGGUACGCG